rnacentral:rRNA from 1 species
CACGUAGGCGGUUUCCUAAGUCAGAGGUGAAAUCCAGUGGCUCAACCACUGGCCUGCCUUUGAAACUGGGGAACUUGAGGCCGUGAGAGGAAAGCGGAAUUCCUGGUGUAUCGGUGAAAUGAGUUGAUAUCUGGAGGAACACCGGUGGCGAAGGCGGCUUUCUGGUGCGGUUCUGACGCUGAGGUGCGAAAGCAUGGGGAGCAAACG